AGCGUAGACGGUUUGGCAAGUCUGAAGUGAAAGCCCGGGGCUCAACCUCGGGACUGCUUUGGAAACUGUCAAACUAGAGUGCAGGAGAGGUAAGCGGAAUUCCUAGUGUAGCGGUGAAAUGCGUAGAUAUUAGGAGGAACACCAGUGGCGAAGGCGGCUUACUGGACUGUAACUGACGUUGAGGCUCGAAAGCGUGGGGAGCAAACA
rnacentral:rRNA from 1 species